CUGUAAUAGAUUUUGACUGAAAAAUUUUCAGAACUUGAGGAUCGGACUACCUUAAAGAAAGGUAACAGAUCAUCAAAUAUUUACCUGGACGUAAUCAGCCGGAACAAGAGCCUGGGCAAUGACUGCUUGGGUCAGUACAAUGAAGAUGGCGGUCUUCAUGGUGUUGACUGCUGAUAUUGAGGGGAUGAAGAAACUGAAUAUAAUAGUAUAUUUAUAGGGAUCUCUACCACUCCUCAGGACGUACAUGUUAGACGCUGCUUGCUGGAGAGUUCUAGUUCUAAUGUAGAGACUUUUAGAGUGAUUUGCACUUUAAUUUAUAAAUGAAAUAAACGGAAAUAUAUA